ACAUACGCUGGAAGCGGUCCGAAGGAUCGUGCCGCUUGCGGCCGGCGGUACAGGUGCUGCAUGGCUGUCGUCAGCUCGUGCUGUGAAGUGUGGGUUAAGUCCCGCAACGAGCGCAACCCUGCUGUCUGUUGCCACCACGAGAGGUGGGGACGUCAGGCGGAACUGCCGGUGACAAACCGGAGGAAGGUGGGGACGACGUCAAGUCAUCAUGGCCCUUAUGUCCUGGGCUACACACGUGCUACAAUGGCCGGUACAGAGCGCAGCGAGGCCGCGAGGCGGAGCGAAUCGCUUAAAGCCGGUCCCAGUACGGAUUGGAGUCUGCAACCCGACUCCAUGAAGUUGGAAUCGCUAGUAAUCGCGCAUCAGCAUGGCGCGGUGAAUACGUUCCCGGGCCUU
rnacentral:rRNA from 1 species